rnacentral:rRNA from 1 species
AUUGAACGCUGGCGGCAGGCCUAACACAUGCAAGUCGAACGAGUGGCGGACGGGUGAGUAAUGUCUGGGAAACUGCCCGAUGGAGGGGGAUAACUACUGGAAACGGUAUCUAAUACCGCAUACCAUCGGAUGUGCCCAGAUGGGAUUAGCUAGUAGGUGGGGUAACGGCUCACCUAGGCGACGAUACCUAGCUGGUCUGAGGGGAUGACAAGCAACACUGGAACUGAGACACGGACCAGACGCCUACGAGAGGCAGCAGUGGGGAAUAUUGCACAAUGGGAGCAAGCCUGAUGCAGCCAUGCCGCGUGUAUGAAGAAGGCAUACGGGUUGUAAAGUACUUUAAGCGAGGAGGCGUUACUCGCAGAAGAAGCACCGGCGAACUCCGUGCCAGCAGCCGCGGUAAUUC